rnacentral:lncRNA from 1 species
UUUUUUUUUAAUCGGUUAUAUAGUAUAUGCCAGGUUUGGAAGCUCCACGUACGUCCUACGCAGAAUAUUAGCUGUGGUGUGUUGGACUGUGACUACUGUCCAAUGCAAGCGUGCGGCCCACCUGUAGGUGGCUCGGCUUGUCCUCAAGGGGUGUUCAAUGAGCCAACUGGCUGGCUAAAACAGAAGAAAUAGACUUGGAAACAGGCAUGUGGCGCACGACAUUAUCUUGGUUUACAUUUUGGGAGCACAAUAGGUUGGAGGCUCCUACGUGGCGCACGGAAGCUAAAGGCUCUGUUUGUUUACGUUUAUAAGCAGUUUAUCAAUGGAAAUAAGCGAGAAUCUCACCAAACGCUUUGUUUAUUUCCACCAAUUCUCACUUAUGUGGUAAGCCACUUCAGAUAUUUGAACUGCGAGAAGCAAAAAGCGAGAAGCAAGAAAAUCUUCGCUUAGAUUAUAAUCCAAGUGUGGCUAGAGGAGAAGCAUAUCCAAACAGGAUCAAAUAAAGUCCAAGUGUGGCUAGAGGAGAAGCAUAUCCAAACAGGAUCAAAUAAAGGUGCUUGCUUCCAGUCCACCAGAGCCCAUCUCCUCCCUUAUCCUCUUCCUCCAGCCCGCCUCCACCUCUGCUCCCUCCUCCACCACCUCGGCCGGCGUUAGGCACAACCGUCCACCAUCCGUCGCCGUCCUUCGACCCCACCCUUCCUAAUCCCGCGACUCAUCGCCCCCCCUCCCCCCCGAGCUGGAGUCCAGCGGCAGGCAGAGGCGGUGCUACCGCACCACCGCUGCCCCCGACCUUCUCCUCUAAGGCCGGUGGCCAUUGUAUCCCCUUGAAACCCCUCAAAUCCUAACCCUAACCACCACCAGCCACCACCCACUGCCGCCGACCUCGAUCACCACCGGCAACCGGCGACGACCUCCCCACCGAGCCACUCCCGCCUAGCUUCCACCCCUUCGCCUAGCUCCCACCCUGACCCGACCCUAAGUUCCUUCUGGCACGCAAAGCGAUGGUGGUGGCGACUGUCCGUGCGUGGGUGGUGGCGGUAGCUGAUGGAGAUCGCACGGCCGAUAACAGCUGCAAGAAUCUCAAACAACGAAGCUAUAUAGCUUGUGAGCUUCCGGAAGCUAUACAGUAACUCCACCCAUUGUCAUACAAUGGACGCUGGCCUAGAUGGCUCCCUCCUUCCAAGACGCUUGUCUGUAUAGUGGGCCACGUGGGAGGUUGUGGCUGAUUGUGUAAUGAGCCGGGCCGAUGCUAGUGGCAUUCUGAUGGGAUGGGUACCUUGCUUGGAUCAAGAAAAGGUUGAGAAUAUUUUGUGAUGAUUAAAUAAUCUAUGGAAGUUUUAAAGAGCGUAGUUAUAAAGUAUCUGUCACGAGUAUGGCAAAUUUCUGUAACGGAACCGUUAUAUAUAUAUAUCCACGGCAAAAACAAAAUGCCCUCAUUUGUGACAAUUUCUUUAGGGUUCGCAAAACCAUGGCAAAGGGAACUUACAAACUGAGGGAAACAUCCUUUUAUGUAGUAGAGGCUGCCACAUAGAAAAGUGCUUGAUUAACUAGAAUACGUACAAGGCAUGCAGAGUAGUUGAAGAGGAAGAUGAUGAUCUAGGUCGCCUAUGAUAAAAAAAACAAAUUGAAAUGGUCCAACAAAGCUGUCAAUGAAAUUAUCCGACCAGAUCAAUGUACAUGUCAGGCCUGAUAAGUACGUACCUGGCCAUCUGAGCUACACUGAUUCGGGUGUUAUGCAUGAAGGGACGGAGUUUAAUACUCGGCCUGCAAAUGCAUGUGCAGCGGCUAACACUAUUGAUGGAGGUUCAUCCAAAUUAUCCUGCCUGCUCCAUGCGACAAUGCCAGGCCUGACCCCUGAAUGGUCUGGACCAGCAGCCGAUCAUGUUUUGUAAGGAUUAGGAGCUAGUCGCUCUGAUCAUGUUGUGGCGUAGUAAGAUACAUCUUACCUUGCUUGCCUUUACGUAUCUUUUGUUAAUUCUAACUUAUAUCUAUGAGAUUAAUUAGAAUAUGAUAAAAGCUAUAUGUAUGUACCAGCAAACAAAGUGGGACCACAAUUAACAUUGAGGAAGAAAAAGCACUUCUCAUGGAGGAAGAAACGGGCAGAUGUGCGUAUAAUUGUUAUAUAUCUGUGCAACUAGAGUAAUUCCAUAAGUUAAUUCUAGGCAGGUUUGGAUUUUUUUUUGCAGUCUCACAUUAGGCCAGUCAUUUUAGAUCUUGUCAGUUUGCGAAAUAACAAUUUUGAUUGUUUAGGAAAAAAUUGUGCAUCUCUACAGAUAUUACUAAUUUGCUCCUGUACAUGCGUGCAAACUUUAUUUGACACGCGAAUACACAGCGUACAAAGGUAUCCUAGCCAGUAGCUACGUUUGGAUGAUUUAGCUUUGGAUUCUCGCCUCACUGGCUUUAACUGUAUUUCUGAGCUUUUCUCGGGGAACGGACUUGUGGACAUAAUCGACCUAUGAAAUCAUAUUACGUGGAAUAGGGGAACACGCCUCCUAUAUGCCUGAAAUUGAUAAAAUUUCAGGGCGGUCUAUAGGGUCUAAAUGAACAAAGCUAAGUCUGAGCACAAAAACAUUUUCACGUCACCUCGUCCAUCACGUUGUCACCAUACGAUGGCGAGAUAAAUCCUCUACUUUAUUUUGGGAACCGAACAUAGCUCAGCUGGCCUAUCCAGGUUUGAGUUCUCCACUGGGCACGAGUAUUCACAUUUUUCUAGAUUUAUUUCAGGAUUUAACGGACGAUGUUCUUUUAGUGGUAGGCAGCAUGGCUGUCGACAAUGAGACACCUGUGGUGACUUCAUCAAUCUCGACAUCUGUCAGCUCGGUCUCUCGACAAUGCUCAUAGAGGUAAGGUUGCGUGCGUGUAUUCGCAAGGGUGAGUGUGCGUGUGUGUAUAUAAGCGUAUGCGUUUGUAUUGCAUUUCGCAAAAAAAGUUCCUCUAAGUUUUGGGAUCUAUCAGGAGUGGACUGGGAUUCUAUGGGAGUACAGCUAGAUCGGAGGAAGCUGCAGUGUGCGGGUGGUGGAUGGUGUGGCAAGGCACCCGGUUUUUAAACAUGUACGCCAGGAUCAUGUUUCACACAUGCAACGACUUUAGUAAAUACCAUAGACAGUGCCAUAAUGCAAAGAGAGUAUUAUAUUUAUUACAUGACUGAAAGUCUUUAAUUUGAAUAGCAAAAUGAGUUUUGUAGCAGCGGAACCCCAACAAUGACGACGACUCCACAGGCAGUUGACUGGGGGCACACAUACGCCUAGAACUCCGCGAAGUCUUGAAGAACCUCCUCAAAGUUGACUUGUUCUGAGCAGCGGUUUUGGCAAGGGUGAGUACACUUAUAAUUGGCACUCAACAAGCAUAGGGAAUGUGUAGUGUAAGGCUAUUAGGCUAUGGCUUAAUAACAUUUCAGCAUUUUAAUUGGUUGGUCAAAUUUUAUUAGCAGUUACUGAGUAUAGGUUUAUACCACCCACGUUAAGCAUGAACAUAAAUAAAGAUAUCAGCAAUAAAUAACAUCAAUUUAAUUCAACUUCCGAUAAAUUAAUCAUGUGAGGGUCCAGGCCACUCUUGACCGUGAGCACAACUGUUAUAAUAGUUUUACACUCUGCAGAGGUUAUACAUCUUUACCCACAAGUCGCGUAAAAGUUCCAGGAAACUUAGAUCCAACCAUGCUGUACAGGCCAUGCACAAUACCACACUUAUGAGGUGUGAUUGCAUAGGGACGCUAUGAGAUCUUUACAAAGAUUUCCUAGUAAGGAUAGCUCGCUAAGGUUUCAUGAUCAGCGCAAUGCAUAAACCUUUCUCAAAUUGUGAAGCUACCAUAGAGCAGAUUAGUCUGAGGGCCGGGCUAUACACCAACUACUGUCUCCCCCUCUUGCCCCUUUCAGGUAAAGCUAACACAAGCUAGAGUUUCUAAUUAAUUAGUCAAGACCAGAGCCAUAUAGUUCUUGUGUCAUAUAGUUCUUGUGUUUGCACUAUUUUCUUGGAUGGUUAUUCUAUAUUCCAAUUAAGCAUGGUGAUCUUGUAUUAAUGAAAGGUAUAGCAUAAAUAAAACAUGUUUAAGCAUUGGUUCAUUAAUACUACCGUACCCAGUUAGAGCAACUAAGCAAGAACUACCCAACAGUAAGUAAACCUAGGUUGAUCAAGGUGUUGGGAUAAAACUAGGCACACCUUAUAUAGGACGCAUCAUGUUUAUAUACUUAAAGUGCAUAGCAUAUGUGUAAUGAACAUGAAAGUAAAGGUUGCAUAGGAUCAAAUUCUGAUCAAGGGCACGACUUGCUUUCCUGAACUUGCUCCUGCUGCUCAAAGUCUUCAAAGCCUUGCUCUUCAAAUCCCUCGAAUUGCGAUCCUUCUAUGCGCACCAAAACAAGUACAUACAAGCAAACAAAGGACUAAAAUAAGAAAACAUUACAUCAAGCAGUAGCAACAGAGCAAAAUAGGACCAUAAAACUAAUCUAUGCGUCAACAUGAACUCAUAGGCACAAGAAUCGUUCAAAACGGAUUUAAAACGCUAAAGAUAUGAGCUAAACAAGGUCCGAGGGCUUAACUGCGAGAAAACUAAACUUCCAGGUGCUAAACUUAAAGAAACUGAGGGCUAAAACCUAAUUAAACUUAUAAACCGAAGGUCUAACAUGCAAAAAGGACCCAACAGGAUGGCAGGUGGGAUUUUAUAAAAGAAUGGGGGCUAAAAGAAGAAAAAAGAGAUCGACGUCCAGCUCCCGUUUAUUCAAUGUGAAGUCCACGACAUAUGUAGGGUUUUUCCACCAAACAUCGACCCAAAGCUACUGCCUACGAAGGAGUAUAAAUAUCCCCUCAUGGAUUACAUGGAAAAAGGAGUUGGAGAAGAGAAGAAACACCACGCAAACACCAUCCACCGCUGUCACAAGAUUAGAAAACAGAGGGAAGAUUGGAUCUAUAGGAGGCCACGCGAAGCGGAGCACCAGAGGAGGCAGAAACCUCCCAAGCCGAUCGGCUUGGAGGUUCCCAGGCCAAUCGGCUUGAGGCUUUCCUGCCCCCGUUCGUCAUCCUCUUUGGUCCAGUUGAUCUACAGGGCGUCCUUUACCCCAAUUUGUGUCAACAUGUGUAAGAUCAUGGGGUAAAAUCUCUGUUUGUCCUCAGGGUUAUAUGAAGAUCUUGAUUUGUAAUCGUUGAACCCCUUGUUUAAGAUCUAAUUGUUAUCAAUCAUAUCUUGAUGAUGUUGUUUCAUAUAAUGGCUAGCCAGCGUUACUUUGGGUUGCUUUAUUGCUUACCUAGAAUGAUCAUCAUGCUGUGUUCUUAUGGUCCGAUAGUUAAGUACCCUUGUGUAGUGAUGGUAUGCGAGAGGGAAAGUGUUGGGCAUGGUUCACAUCUACUCACGAUAAUAGUUAGAUCUAGUUCUUUCAUUCAUGGAUAUUGCAUCUACAAGUAAUCCUAGAUCCCUAGGACAAAUGUUUUAUCUAUCUUGUUCACAACCUCACUCUCUAUCUGCUUUGAUGAUCUAGACCGCUUUGUUUUUUUGUUAGCAUAACCUUACCCUAUGCAAAGAGCUUUCGGUUACAUAGAUUAGUGCUUAGUUAAGCGUGCAAAUCCCUUGUUCCAUGGAAUGAUAAACCUUGGGGGAAUCUCUAAGGAAAAAGCUACAACUGAUCUGUGCGCUUGCGGUUCACAAUUUGAUGUGCUAACUGCCGUCAACAAUGGUUGGCUUUGUGCCUAGCUAUAUGUGGGGCCCAAGCUGUUUGAAUGACUUACAUGUGGUCCCAUUAAUGCCAUUCCAUGUUGUGCAAUGCAUGCUGAAAAGGUGGGGCAAAGUAGCACUAAAACCUAGCUGGUGCAUGUUUAACUUGGUUCAAAGUGACAACAUGACUCCAAAACGAAAUGCUUUAUGCAAUUUUCUUGAUUAGAGACCAUCUUCUUGAUCAAUGUUGUAGUAGCAUUGAUGGUAAGUGAGAAGAAGACGCCUUGCACGCGCCCGCAAUCUACUAGCUGACCUCGAGCAGGCCGGCCACAAUAUCUUCACCACAUCGCAGGCCAACCUGGGGGCUACUUUUGCUGAACUGGAAAACCUUCUAGACUCAGAGCAGAUGUAGCGGAUCCGGGAGCGUAUCUGCAUCGCCAACGCUCAGAUCGAGGAGCAAGCCCACAGCCGGUCCGCACACUCUCGGUCCAUGGCUACCUGGCACUCUCGGAGCUGAUCCGGGCAUAGCAGAUCUGACCACCGCUAAGGCAACCGCGUGUGAGGUCGGCUGGAGCCAAUCCAUGAAGAAGAGGUGGAGCAAAACGCCAACCCACCCGCCAACGACAACGCCAAUAACGACAACCGAUACCGCGGUAGGAGAGGUAAUGCUAAGGACCGUGCCAGACAAGGUCGGCAACGUGACCUCCGUGAAGAAUUGCAUGAUCUCUGUGACCGCUGUGACCUCUGCCCUGACCUCAACAACUGUCAUCAAGAGCGGGAAGAGGUCGAGCUCCGGCACCGCGCCGAGUACGAUCGUGACUACGGUGCUCCUGGACUCAACCGCGAUGCAGAGCGCGAGGACCGCCAUCACCAGGAAGAUAAGAUGCAUCGUCGCACUAACUACGACCGCAUGUACAGCGUCAUUGCCAGGAAGAUGAUAUCCGUUGUUGUUGCCAUUCAUGUACAAUACGUCCUCCUAAGCCUUCAGGCAGUUAUUCCCUGAGUGUCCAGUAUUUCCACAAACCUCACAUUUCAUGUGAGAGUCCAUAGCUUGGACGGUGUUGGAUAUGGCAGAUUUCUCUUUUGUGUAAUCGUCCAAUCUCUUCAUGAGGAGGUCCAUCUUAGCGGUAAGCAUGUCCACUUCCUUGACGGUAUACAUACCUCUCUGCCUAGGUUGGAGUUGCUCAUCGCUCUACCCUUGAUUAGAGACCAUCUUCUCGAUCAAUGUUGUAGUAGCAUCGAUGGUAAGUGAGAAGAAGGCUCCUCCAGCAGCAGCAGCAUCAACAUGGCCUCGAGAUGUCAGAGUCAACCCAUUGUAGAAAUUCUGAAGAAUGAGCCACUUUCCAUCCUGUGGUGUGGCAGGCCAGGAUGGACUCCUGAAGCAUUUUCCAAACCUUGGGAAUUGACUUAGUAGCUGCUUGCUGAAAACUCGAAAUCCUUCCAUGAAGGGCGUUGAUUUUGUCCAACGGAAGAACUUCGUGAGGAAUGCCGCAAAGUAUUUAUCCCAUGUAUUCACCUCCAUAAGACUCGCAUAGAACCAUUGCUUUGCUCUCCCCAGGAGAGAGAAUGGAAAUAGUCGGAGAUGAAUAGUGACUUCACUCACCCCUUUGAUGGUGAUGGUGCUGCAUAUCUCAAGGAACUGUUGCAAAUGGGUGCUUGCAUCCUCGUUGGCUUUUCCACAGAAUGGGCUAGCCUGCACCAUGGUAAUGAGACCUAUCUAGAUCUCGAAGCUCGCGUUCCACAUGUCCACCUUAGGGCCUUUCAGCAUCUGAGAGGUUGAGGGAACAGAGUACUCACAAAGAGUCUUCUGGGCCAUAGCGUUUGAUAUAGAUGGUGCAAAGGAAGCUAGGUCGACUGCCGAGAGAGUGAUCUGAGGAGAAAUGACACGAGAUCGUACCCUUCUCACAAGUGAUUUCGGAUUCUCAAGGAAAUUUGUCGGCAAGUUGAAACCAGUCAUACACUACAUGUCUUCACAUCAAAGAUAGAGAAGACAUAUCAAGGUUAGCUGACUUGAGUAAUGAUCUAUCAACUGUGAAUAUAAACACAUACAAAGUAAAAAACUUUUAACCAGUGCCUUCCCCAGUAACGGCACCAAAAAUGCUUGUUGGUAUAUUUAACGAUCAUGAAUAAAUCCGCAAGUGCACGGGUAUACCAUUGUAGCAUUUCUCCAAAGAGUAUUCCCAAGAGUAUAGUAUUUCCCAAAGGAAGCGGGUAGGUCAAAAGAGUUUACUAUGCAUAUGAGUAUACCAUAGAUGGAUAGAGACAAUACUUAAGGCAAGGGUAAGAUAUGAUAGAUAUGUAGUGUGACACACACAGGAAUCAUCUCAAGAUAACUAAGCCAGGGAGAAGGACUAAGUGUUAGCUCUAGGUUCAUAUGUACUUCCUAUAUACUGCACAUAUCAUACAAGCAUAACAUACAUACACAUUGUAUAGAAAUAAGGCCUAUGCACCCAGGCACACACGAGGAGGUAUUACCCGUACUGGUUCCGCCCAGCAAAGUUACUGCAAAUUUACGAACUCCUAUAGUGUAACUGAACGUGGAGGAUUAUAAAGGACCAACAGGGCUGUCACCACCUGCGGCCUACCUCUACGGCCCGUGGGGCAAACUCAUAUCCAAUGAAGCUAAGCAAUCCAAGCACCAUGCUUGCAUUGUUAAAAUUACUCCAGCCAUACUAGGCUAUUUUAUCAAUGGCUGAAGCCACCAUAGAAAUGGCAUUGAACCGAUGCCGUAGCAUAGAUCAACUAAGCUAUACAAGGUAUAUUUGCACAUAGAGUAUGUACUGAAGCAUGGUCUCAAGGCAUACAUAAGAGUAUAUAAACCUAUACUAUGAUAGCAAGGGUAUACAACUAGCAUACGAGUGUAUAAGCCUAGCACAUCAACAUAGCAAGGGUAUAAGAUGAACUCAUGCAUAGAAGAACCAAGCACAACACAAUAUGAACAAGAUGUAUACUUUGAAUAGAAUAAAGUCAAUAUAGGAAUAAAAGAUACAAGAGCCAUACUCUAGACUCCAAGGAGACCUGGAACCCGAAGGAGAGCUAUUCUUGCCUAACUCCACUAACUUGGAAACUAAGAGGGAGAAAAUGAUUCACUUGUGGUGUGUGUCCUAGAAUAGAGCCCUUACCCUCAUAUUUAUAGGCUCCGAGAGGCAGUUCUACCAAGGAAUUUCAGGGGAUAUCCCAUAACUAACGUAGGGGACCCGUCAACCGUUGCCACAUGGAGGCUAGAGAUGAGAGGAGGCAAGGGCGGUUUGGCUAAACUGUUGGUUCAGCCGACCCCCUGUGGGCCCUCCUCACAACCACCUUUCUCCAGGUGACUGCCUGGUGGGUCCCAAUAGCGGUUGUGUGUGCUAUCCGGUGGAUUGGGGUGGUUGUGGUAGUUUGUGGGCUCUACAAUCCAUGGGAUGCACACGUGGCAACCUCCCAUUGGCUAGAAGUGUGUUUCUUGGAUCCAUAGAGGGUUCUUUCUUCAUUCUUUUUUGUUAUUUCACCUGCAACCAAAUAUUCUCCAAGAACUAGUGGAACUACAUUAUUCGAAACCAAAUAUGCAUGUAAGAAAUACCAAACCUAUUUUAUUCUUGAGUAUAUUGACGGUCAUAUUUGGUACUUAACGACUGUCAACAACAACCCCAAGCUAGCCCUUCAUUCGUCUCGAGCAAAUUCUAAGACUUAGGUUGGUUGAUCAGAAGUUUCUACUAUGUUGUAUUCCUAACUUAUGCCAAGACUACAACAAAAUAUUCUACCAAGAAUUGAAUAAGUUGGCAUUGAUCUUACCUCUUACCUUAGUCCUAUGGGGCAUGUAGCUUCACCUUGUCUUGGGCGGUUGAGAGAUAGAAUGGUUUUAUAGAGCACCAUUCACUCAUCCCUUGAUCAAAGAUUUUCAAAAGAAAGAAAAGUUCCUCAAAUGAUACUCUCCGAUCUCUCAAUGUGUAUGAUUCCUCACCAAGGCUUAGGAUUGCCUUUCUUUCAUAACCUACUCCUAAUAGGCUUAUAUGUGGAGCUUUAGGUAGGGAAGAAUGUGUUGGGAUACGAGGUAGGCUACACUAGCGCAAAUCAAAAUUUUUCUACCGCGUAAACCAGGAAAACUACCGUAUAAGGAUCACGGGAUUACCACUCGACGCACUGGUGCAGAAGAUGCAGAAUCGUGUCAGGGCAGUGAAGACAAUCAGCGUAGUCGAACAUAGUCCAUCAUGUUGACGUCAAGCGGCACCUCAGCAGCUCGUCCAUGUGCAGCAAGGUUGUCCUCGUGCCGUGGCUCGUCGUCGGCUCGUCGUGGCUCCUCGGUGGCUCAUCCACGUGCUGCAAGCGCAACACCUCCUAGGUAUCCACACGUGCAGAGAGGAAGCGUCGCAAGCUGGACUGCUAGGUUCGCGAGUUGCAACAGGUGAGGGCGUGGGAGAUGCGGCAGAUGUGUUUUGCCAAAAGGUGUAAACCCUAGGGCGCCCCCACCCCUCUCUUUAUUGAGGUUCCUAACGGGCCUCUGGGUCCGAGGCCCAUUAGUACUUCUAAGCCUAAUCCAACUCGGAUCACAUCCGAAUUGGGCUUCCAGCCCCUUAAGUGUGUGACCCUAUGGAUUUGGAUACGUAUAGACAUGGCCCGAAUACUCCUACUCGGCCCAAUAGUCGGUAGCGGCUUCUAGCAAGACGUGCCAACUCCUAUACGCACACGAAGAUCAUAUUAGACGAACCAUCACAACAUCAUGUACAUGCUAUUAUCUUUGUCUCACGAUAUUUGAUCUAGCUUCAAGCCGACCGCUCUUUCUCGAUCUUGUGAUUCGGAAUCCCUUUGUAGGUUAACUCUUAACCGAACGUAGCAUGGCCAUGCAUUUUCGAAUCCAAUCACUCGAGGGGCCCCGAGAUAUCACUCUCAAUCAGAGAGGGGCAAAUCCCAUCUUGAUUGACCAUGUCUCACACCAUGCUUCUUGACAAACCUGAAAGCUACCUUUUUAACUACCCUAUCACGGUGUAGCGUUUGAUAGCCCCUAAGUAAGUCGAUCCACAUCUUGAGUACAUGCAAAAAUGUCAGGUCUAAGGACAAAGCGUACAUGUUGUGUAAAGAUAGAACUACUUCUCGUGUUGGGUCAGUCCUAGCACAUGUCUCCACAUGUGCCCACAUUAUUAGUUUAACAUCUCCAUGUCCAUGACCUGUGAAACAUAGUCAUCAACUAAUACAUGUGCUAGUCUAAUAUUCAUGUGUGUCCUCACAUGAACUCCGACUAGGGACAACUUUAGAAUAAUCAUACAAGUAAAGAGUUUCACAUACAAUUCACAUAAUUGCAAAUCAAUUCAAGUAGCCUUUAAUGGAUAUUCAAGGAACAUAGUACAAAUCAUGGAUACAAAUGGAAUAUCAUCAUCUCUAUGAUUGCCUCUAGGGCAUACCUCCAACAGACUGAAGGCAUACCUGUUUCUCAUUUAUUGCUAAGUCAAAGACCGGAUCCUUCGGAGAAGCAAGUCAAACAACCUGAUCAAGAUGUGCAUGUGUGUGGAUGGUGGAUAUGGUGGAUGGUAUAUGGACUUCUUUUUGUAUGAUCCUUCUCUCUCCUUUGCCUUUUCUUUUGAGACAUGGGCUAUCUUUUUUCUCUUUUUUUUCAUCAUGCUUUCAUGAGCAUGUCCUUUAUUUAUUUUUUGCAUAACCCAAGUAUGUUAUGCAAGGAUAACUUUGGAGAGAGAGGUCAUAGAACAACAUGGAGCUUCAUUUUGUGGAUGGAUGAAAUGAUGAUUGCUAACUUCUAGUGUAGAAGUUUAGCAUAUGGUGGUGGCGUGUACGUGAUCUUGAUCAUGGGAGUAUGACAAGUUUCUCACUAAGGGUCACUACAAUUUAACAAAGCUCAAUGAGAGAACAAGUUGCAUAUGUGUGAUGUAGCACUGGCUCGAUCUUCUGAAAGGUAUUCAUAGAUUCGAUUGGUGGAGACUCGACAUUGACGAUCCGGGCUUCUAAUCAGACACGAUUCGAAUCCCUGCAACCACUACACCACUGCUCUGUUGGUUAUUAACCAAGCACAACUUGAUUGACCUCGCCGAGAAGGCUUUCCCUGCAAGCGAAUCGAAGGACACAAGCAAGAAAGUAUAAACACGCAAUCUGAAAUAGCAAAUAUGAAUGAAGUAAAGAAGGGUUCAAGCUCUCAAUUCGAAAGGACUAAUCGACAUAGUCGAGGAGAACAAGAACAGGGGCCCUGGAUCACUGUAAAAGGACUUGUCGCCACAGUUACAACGAAUCAAUCUUAGUUUCUCAAAGGAAAACUAGAAGUAAACAAAAUCCAUCUUUCUAAGGUGGCAGCUACUGAUUUUAUAUCAAAAGGGACGAACUAGGGUUGGGGGUGACCAGGAAGGGGGUACCCACAACUUGAGGUUAAGGGCCGACACGAUACAAGGCCAAGUUGGCCCAAAACUGGUGAUGAUACACCUUGUCGUGGUCACACAGAAUGAUCCACGAGCCUUCUGGACCUAGGACCAGAACUAAAAGAAUGGCGUCAUCGUCCCCAUUCCAACUCAUUAAGGAAUGCCUCGUUUCAAUGUCGUAUGAGGGAGAUAUGGCCAAAACUGUGCAGCGGUGUGGGCUGAAUCCGAACUGAACGCAACGAUCGAGAUGGUGGCGACUUGUAACUUAGGGAAGACCAUGACUCGUGUGUUUCCAGCAUGGCGAUGUCCUCAUCAAUAAACAUGGCCAUUGAACUAAUGUCGUAGCAUAGAUCAACUAAACUAUACAAGGUAUACAUGUGCACAAAGUAUAUACUGAAGCAUGGUCUCAAGGCAUACAUAAGAGUAUAUAAGCCUAUACUACGAUAGCAAGGGUAUACGACUAGCAUACGAGCGUAUAAGCCUAACACAUCAACAUAGCAAGGGUAUAAGACUAACUCAUGCAUCGAAGAAUCAAGCACAACACUAUAUGAAGAAUAUGUAUACUUUGAAUAGAAUAAAGUCAACCUAGGAAUAAAAGAUACAAGAGCCAUACCCUAGACUCCAAGGAGACCUGAAACCUAAAGGAGAGCUACUCUAGCCUAACUCCACUAACUUUGAAGCUAAGUGGGAGAGAACCUGAAACCUGAAGGAGAGCUACUCUAGCCUAACUCCACUAACUUUGAAGCUACGAGGGAGAGAAUGAUUCACUUGUGGUGUGUGUCCUAGAAUGGAGCCUUUACCCUCAUAUUUAUAGGCUCCAAGAGGCGGUUUUGCUAGGGAAUCUUCGAGGAAUAUCCCAUAAUUGUCGUAGGGGCCCCAUCAACUGUCACCACGUGGAGGCUGGAGACAGGAGGAGGCAAGGGCGGUUUGGCUGAACCCCUGGUUCGGUCGACCUCCUGUGGGCCCUCCUCGCAACCACCUUUCUCCGGGUGACUGCCUGGUGGGUCCCAAUGGCAGUUGCAUGCGCUAUCUAGUGGAUUGAGGAGGUUGCGGUAGUUUGUGGGCCCUUCAAUCCAUGGGAUGCACACGUGGAAACCUCCUAGUGUAUUUCUUGGAUCCAUAAAGGGUGUUUUCUCCAUCCUUUUGUGCUAUUUCACCUGCAACCAAAUAUUCUCCAAGGACAAGUGGAACUACAUUAUUUGAAACCAAAUAUGCGUGUAAGAAAUACCAAUCCUCCUUUAUUCUUGAGUAUUUUGACGGUCAUAUUUGGUACUUAACUAUCAUCAAUAAUAGACUAAACAUUUAUUUGUAGGAAUAGCAUAAUUGUGUGAAACAAAAAAAAGUGCGAGUGCGUGUUUGGGAAGGGGUGGAUUGUUUUUUUCGAAUCACACAGUAUAGAUGUAGACGCUCACAUACAUGCACGCAUACUCGCCCCUAAGAACACACGCACACAAUCCUACCCCUAUGAGCACCUUCGAAGGACUGAACUGGCAAAUUUUCGAGAUUGACGAAGUCACCACUAGCACCUCGUUGUCGACAGGAGAGGGAAUGAGCACGGCAUUGAAGGGGUUGAAGAUGAGCACGGCGAUGAGAGGGAAUGAGCAUAGAGACAAGAGGGGCGGCAGUGGCGAUUGUCGACACCGCCGAGGGAAGGGGUCAUCCUGCCAAAAAGUCAGCAGUGGCACACCUUCGGCUCAGUGUCAUGGGUCACCUAGAGGGCAUCCUCAUGGCCAUGCCUAGAACAUGGAUGAUGAUGAUGAAGCGUUCCUCACUUGAUUGCUCAAGAGGACAACUGCAGCGGUAAAAUGGACUUGUGUCAUCAAGGGUAUUUCAUUUUGGUGGAGAAGAAUGGGAGGGAGGGAACGAUGAGGAGGGGGGCAGCCAUGGAGAUGGGAGAGAGGUGGUCGGAAUGGGGCUUCUGUUGUUUUCCUAGGAGGGGUGAAUUGUUAUGCUAGACCAAUUUAAAUAAUUGAGGGAGUUAAAUAAGUUGAAAUUUUGAUCAUGUUUAAUGGAUUAGGAAAAUCAUUGUAAACACAAAAUGUAUGCCAACAAUGAUUAACUUUUUGUUCUAGGCAUAGCAUAUUUUUCUUUCUUCUUGGUAUGUGUGGAGUGAAGAAGGAUAAGGAAUCCUAGCCAUGGACAUGAUAAACUUGGACAAGCAUAUGGAUGAAGUGAUAGAAAUGGUUUGUGGCUAGGAUUAUGCUUUAGCACUUUCUCUCUUUUGCUUAUAAUGCGCCUCUACUGGGGUGUUAUAAUCAUUGUCAUGCUUAUAUAGGACUAUGGGAGUCAUCCACAUCGCGAUUUCGAUCUUGGUUUUGCUGGAUUUUCCCGAUUUGUUUUUCCAAAAAUAUGAUAUUUGAUCGGUUUAUGCGGUAUAUGGUGUCAGUUGUACUGGAUAUUCGCAUUCCUACUUUCAUCCCCAUGUGUGGGCAUGCCCAUCUUGUACAAUUGAGCUAUCUUCGUUGUAUAAUAUUAGAACCACUAGCUCAACCUCACAAGGGGAGACUUAUCCUUAGAAUUUGCCUAAGAUAUUGAUGUUUGCUGCUUCACUCAAUGAUUAAUUGUAUAACUGCAUCCAAAACUGUACCAAUGAAAAAAACUGCUUCUAGAAUGCUUAGGUGUUACCAUUUCUUUGUGGGCUUUUGUCCACACUAGUGGUUCACUGCAUAGUAUAAUGUAUAUAUAGUGAAAACAAUAUAUUCUCAUCAUAUUUGGUUGUAUACGUUUAAAUUAUACAAACUGGUAUAGGUACCUUUGUAUUGAACAUCUUUUUAAUUAGCUUAAUUUGCUUCAUAGAUGAUUGGACAAAAACUUAUAGCAUACACAACAACAAGAAAGCAAGUUACUUGCCGCACAUUGUAGUGGCAACACAAAUGUAGUAUUUUAGGACAACGUAUUUAAUUUUCAAGAAUUUUGUUAUCUAAGGUUGCUUUGCAUGGGCUCCAAUGAAUUUCUUGUGGGUACCUCCCGACCAUUCAAAAGACAAAAUGGUGCAUAUGAACAUACUCAAAAAUCUGCCAGUUGAGUUAUCCAACACACUUCAUUCUAUGUUACCCCUACAUCCCGAGUAAUAUACUAAUAUGUAGACAUUAUAAAGUGUAUAUUGCACCCACCAUAAAAAACAAGUUGUGGUGUGUCAGUUUAGUCCAAGUUUCAAACGAGCAAAUCAAUCCAUCAAUUUGUCACUAUGAUCAUAUAUGGUCCAAAUACACUUCAUGCACUAAUUUAUGGCUAUAUUGACAAGAUAACGUGGUGAUGAUGGUCAGUUUGAUGCACAUAAUCCCCUACAUCUAUACUAUUGAUUGAUUUGAGGCCUUCUCUGAUUGCUUUGAGCAAUCACGGCUAAAGGGAUCGUGACACCCUAAGAGGGGGGUUGAAUUAGGUGUUCUAAAAACUAAAACUCCAAACACAUAUAAAGUUGAUUCCAAUUUCUAUCUAGAUGUGCACAAGGUUUUUCUAUGUGUUACGAUCUCUACUCCAAAAGAGUUUUGCACCCUAAGUUCCAAUCCUAUAAACUUCACAUGGCAAUUGUAGGAACGGUAAACUCAGAAUGUAAGUGCAAUAGGAAAUGUGGAAGGUAAAGGGGUAGCGAAUGCAAACUCCCAACAUGGCGACAUGUCGAUUUUAACCGAGGUAUCGGAAAGCAAAGCUUUUCUCUAGUCCUCGUUGUUGGAGCCCCUAUCAAGGAAAUGCUCGUAGAAGGGCAUAAGCUCUUCGGUCAAGUAAAUUCGUAGGAUAGUCGUUAGGCCAUCCCCACACGCAAGUGGGGCUCCUCCUUGCCUCUCCCGGAUGCUCCUCGCCACUCUUCAGUUGGUGGAGCUUCAGCAAAAUACCAUGGACCUUUCCUCCCUGUCACAUGCACCAGCGGUACCUCCAUAAAUGUGGUUGGAGGGUCUCGCAAGACUUACAAGCCUCGAAUUUACAACUCUUGCUACACGCACCGAUAAUAAGGACGUGUACAAACCUCACCUAGCUCUAGGCUAAACCCUAAAGUAAUGCGCUAAUAGGCCUAAACUAACAGUAUGAAGGACCGGAAAGGCGACCAGAGCGGGGGUGAAUGGGAGCCGAUUCAAAUUUUCUCCAAGAACUUUGGCUAAAAACUCACAACCCUCUCUUCUAGCAAAAUCAAGUCCACUUAGCUAUCCACAAGCUAAUGAACCUAGGAAUGAUGCUAGCGACCCAAUUUAAGAAUAGCGGAAGCAAGAAAGACUCCAAACAAGCUCCGGAAGACAAACUUUGAAAACCAACACCUCUGUGCGGAAAAAUCCGAAGGAACCUUCAGAAAAUUCCUGACGUGCGAAAAUUUCCGGAGAAACCUUCGAAAAUUUCCGGAGGUCCGGAGAUUUCCGAAAUUCAAAAACAGCCUGCACGAAGAUGGUAGAAAAAUUCGAAACGGGGUCAAACAAUCUCCAAAAAUCACGAAAUUUGAACCAUAGCUUCACAACACAGUAAAGAAGCUUCUUAUAAGAAAUCAUCCCUAAUAGAUUUGUGAAUCAAAGAUAAUUUCAAAUAUUGUGAAGAACUCUAUUUUCUCAAUGCCAAAACUUGAAUCGACCCAAUCUAUGAACUCGUGAGGUUUCAAUCAAAUCCCUUCGGUGGAAAGGUUCAACUCACGUCCUAGUUUAUUUCCAAACAACUGGAUUGACUCAAAACUCCCCACAAAAUACGAAUCGACCAAAAUGGUGAGAGGGAAGACAAGGGAGAAAACAAGAACGCGAAGAACACAAACGGAAAUUGCAAAUCGAGGUGGGAUGGAACAAGAUGGCACGAAAUAGAUCUUUGGAUUACUUCACCAUGUCCGGUUACAAGCCACUCCUAUGCACAAUCCAAGCUAGGAUGGCAAAAAGAUCAACACAAAGAUCCCUCCUCUCUCCCUCUCUCCCUCUACCAAAGGCUCUCACAAAACAAAUGAGAAAACCCCCCACCAAAACAACCAAAGGAAUGGCUGCCCCAAACAGCCCUCCUAUACAAAUAUAGGCAUUUGGAAAAUGUCCAAAAUACCCUUACAUUAAGCAAAAAACCCAAAUACCCCCCAAGGGUAAAGUCGUCCAACUUUUUCUUCGUUCAUCGGACAGACCCGGCGCCUUCACGACUUCGCUUUGCCUCGACGCAAGCUUCGCGAUGGUACCAUGCAUCCUCCAACUUGACGCCGUCCGGCCGCACCGAACUCGCCCCCGGUUUUGUGACCCAAAUCGGCAAACCUGCCUGCGCAGUGGUUUUGAGGCCCAAACCACCCAACCCUCUGCACACCCACCUGGCGUGACUCACCCCCAGUUUUGAGGUCAAACCGGUCAAACCCUCUACGCACCCUCCUGGCGUGACUCACCCCCGGUUUUGAGGUCAAACCGGUCAAACCCUUUUGCACGCCCCCGCAAGACGUGACACACCGAUGUCGAUGCGUGUCCAGCCUCCACCAAGCCUUCGACACCUCCAAGUCUUUCGCUCUCGGCUCCUGGGCCACCUACUCGACUCGCCUCUAUCCCGCUUAACUCGACCGAUGCCGUCUCCAUCCUGUCCGUGUACUUUUGCUCUUCCGUGCACCAUGUGGAUCGCCCAUGACUCCGCCUGGAAACCUCGGGUCCCUCAGUCCUAGUACAUCUGCAUGGACCUUUCACGCUUGACCUUCACCUCAUGCCGUUGAUCGCCACAUCGCAUCCUACACAUGCACAUCACAAGCCAGGAGACACAACACACAACAUACGGUAUACUCAAAUACCACAACACAACUCACACAACGCAACACAUCCGGUUAGCCGUUAGCAUAAUCAUGCACAUAUGAAAUAUGAACUCAACCGGUAAAGCCUCAAAUCAUCUUGUCAAUCACUCAUCACAAAUAGACCAAGGCACUUCUCAACUUGGUCUCUCAAUCUCCCCCUUGGUAAGUGCAUUGACAAAAGAUGAUUUGAAAGCAAAAGAUAACUCAUUCAAGUGCCCAAAAUCCAAGUAAAAGCAAACACAAGGCAACUUGAUAUGAGAAAGGAUCACGCAAGCUCCAAUGAAAAAUUUUAGGUUGCAUCAAAGCCAUUUCCCAAUCUCCCCCUUGUUGAAUCCCAAAAGACAACAAAAGAGUCAAGCGAAAGACACAAGUGCUUCAUGAAUGCCAAAAUAUCGUCAAAGACAUUUCAACAUUUGUCAAACGCUCAUCACUAGAAAAUCAAGGUUUAUAUCAACUUGAUUUUCUCAAUCUCCCCCUUGAUGAGUGUGUUGACAACAUUCAAGCACAACGAAAUGGUUUGAGAGGCAAAAGUCAAAAGUCUUAGCCAAGUGAUCAAAUGUUAAGUAAAGCCAAUAUCAAAGUCACUUGAGAUGAGAAGAGCCAUGAGAGACAAAUUGUGAAACCAAUUAAGCAAAACUCUCAUCAAAGUGAUCGAAAGCCAUAGAAAGGCAAAGAUUAAAGUCACUCGGCAUGAGAAACAUCACAAAGGCCAAAUUAACUUAGAAAAGUCUCGGUCCCCAAAGACAUGGGCAACGGCUCGACACAACCGAGACAAAGAACACAUGAUCCCUCAAGAAGAGGCAGAAAGGGCUCAACACCAAUCAUGUGAAGAUCGAAAACUCAAACCAAAUGUCGGUUCUCAAGAAGAGUUAAAAGCUCAACACAACGGCAAAAGAGAAAAAGAGAGCACAAAACUCACAAGCUCCCCCUGAACACAUGCCCUCCCCCGGAAAACAUGCCACAAUGAAAUGCAUGAACAAGAGCAAAAGAAUGCAUGCUCCCCCUCAAAUGCAAAACUCCCCAUUAAAUGCAAGACUUCUCCUUAAAUGGAAACAUAAGAUACGCAUGGGAGCACAAAAUGCAUGCCAUGGGUGUACAACCUACCAAGCUUCUCAAAUAUAUCACAAAGCACUUGCAAAGGCUACAAGUGAGAUAAUGCACAAGCAGGUAGAUCAUAAAGAGCAAUUGCAUCAUCAUCAAGAGGAUAUUAUGAUAUAAGCAAAAGAUGAAGCAAGUUGACAAAUUUUGCAGUUUAUAAAAGUAUCACUACAUGAGCAAGCACCUAGUCAUGAAUCACUCAAGCAAGAAUUAAACUACAUCAUCAGAGCUCAUACAAGGAAGAACAUUCUCAACAAGAGAUUAUUGCAAACACCCACAUAUGCAUCACAAGUCAUGUCAAGGCUUGUUGAAACCAUGUGCCUAGUUCUUUUGGUAGACAUCAUGUAACAACUAACCAAGAAAGGAUAUCAACAUUAAGCACAAUAACUUGGUGAAUUAUUGAAUUUUUCUUAUCAUCAUUUUUCAUCAUUCACUUUAAACAAGUUACAUGAAGUGCCUUUGCGGCACAAAGAAGCCAUGCUUCCCCAAGGAAUGCAUCAUGGGAUAAACAUUGCAAUGAUACCUAAAUAUUUGAUCCAAUUAAAAAGAACAAGAAUUCCAAGUAGAAGCUAAACAUGGAGCUAGCAUUAAAGCAAGAGCAAUGCAUAAAUAGGUAGCUACUCAUGAGUGAUAAGCAUUUCAGAAUUCAUUAUUCAAGAUUAACAUUUGAUUCAGAAAAGUAUUUAGCUCAACAUGGUUAUAUGACAAUAUCAUCAAGAGCAUAUGCUGCACAUUGCUACACAAUCACCAACCAAUGCACUAGCUCACAAAUAGCAUAAGGAAAUGCUAAGGAUAUAUAUGAGAAGCUCAUCUAUUACAAAGUGUAUAAGGUGCAAUAUGAUACAAAUGCAAUGCAAUGCUGAAAGAAAUGGGGCUCGGCUCAAAAUCAAGAAAGAUCAUGAGGGUCAAACCAAUCUAGGAAAAGCUCCGUGGCCAAAGAAGAACCGCCAACGACCCCAAUUGAGUACCAUAGAGGGGAUACCAAUUGCAGGAUCAAAAAUUGAUAUCACUUGAAGAAAAUGAAAUCCAAUUGAAAGAUCAAAUGUGAUACCAAUUAAAAGAUCAAAAGCGGAUAUAAAACCAAAGUAAGUCAUUGGACCAAACUCCCCCUCGAAUCAAGCCGAACUCCCCCUCAACCAAAGACAGCUAGCAAAAAAACUAGAAAAGAAAGGGAAAACGAAAAAAAUCCAACACCAAUCAAAAGGAAGAGAAAAUCCAAAGAAGGAGCAAAAUGCAACCCAAAGACAAGGUAAGCCCAAAAGCAAGAUAAAGCUCAAUUCAUGUCACACAAUACAAUGAUAAUACCAAUAAGAAAUUAAAGCAUUGCAACAUGAUUCUACAUUUAUGAAUAAAAGAUUGGGCAAGCAAACAUGUCAACAAGGUGCAAAGGAUUAUACAAAGAUACUAAGCUAAAAUGAUACCAAAUGAACAAUAUGCCAUACCCAAUAUAAAGACAAAGCUAAAGCAUGGCACGAUAUUCAUGUGGAUCAUCCACCAAGAUGUAUUACAAAGCUAGCAUGACAAGAUAUACAUGAAGAUCACACAUGCUAACAUGAAAAUGUGGCUAGCCUACCAUUGUAUAUUCACAACAUGAUACAAGGAUAAAACAUGCAAAUAGUAUACAAGUGAGCACAAGAGUGUGGAAGGGAAAACUCACUAUACAAGUGUACAAAGGCCUCUCGAGGGCCAUCCAAACGGUGUGGAGAACCAUCAAGUCUUGAUCACCUCAAGCAAAAGAUCAAGUCACUUUGAGCUCAUGUUCUCCACCCACAUCCCUGUACCUACACACGAGGGGACAAAGAAGACCGAGUCUUGGAUCCCAAAGGGUUAGCAAGCAUAUACCUGGGAAUCCAAAACUUAGUCACACGGGUAAAAGAUGCACUCAGCUUAUCAUGUGGGUUAGCAUGAUGCAAACGCCGGAUCAAAUGAGAAAGUUUUGAAACACCCUUGGAACCAUGCCUCAAACAAGCAACUCGAGAAGAAGGAGUGCUACCACUAGAAAAAAGGCAAUGACGCCGCGAUGUCUUAAGAGAAGAACCAACACAAGCACCAUGAGAACUAUAUCGUGGACCAACAUAAGAAAAACUGGAAGCAUGUCCACAAGCAUGACUUAACUCACUAGAAAAAGAGUCAUAAAUCCUGUCAAUGAAAUAUGGCUUCUUACUAGGCUCACAAGUGUUCAAGCCAUGAGCAGGGCUAUGAACAAUCAAAGGCCUAGAAGCACGAGUUCGCCGCAUUUGUCUUGCACGACGAUAACAAAAACUCUCUUGAUGCCCAUCUUUCUCACAAUAAGAGCAAUGGUACAAAGGCCUAUUUGGAGGCACGGUCCGAGAGGAUGAAUCACCAUUCUCAUUCAAGUGAGAGGUCCCUUGGGACUUAGAGCAAGAAGCAUCAACAACACCAUUUGACUUGGUGCCCACAUUAGGUUCACAUGUGCCAUGGGAAAGGCUACGUGACUUCCUAAAAGAUUUGGCAAGCACACAUCGCUCAUGCUUAACACGGCGAAAGCAAAACUCAACGGUAUGCCCAUGUUUCUUGCAAAAGGUGCAAUGGAACUUCAGUUUGGGAGUAUGAGUUCGAAAAAAGUGAGAAGCAUCCUUACCACUUGAAUUGUCUUGGGCAAUACCGGAAGAAGCAACAAGCUUAGAAGUAGUUAUAAAAGAUCUAUCCAAAGCACUAGCACAAGUACCACCAUCCAAAGACUCAUGCUCAAUAGAAGAAGCCAACUCCGGUUGAGAAGAAGCAAAUUGGGAAACACCAACAUCGGAGUGACAAGAAUUGCAAGAAUCAAUAGACUUAGCACAAAAACUCUUGCAUCUUGUGGUCAAAAUCUCAUUUUCAUGUUUGAUGCGAUCACAAGUACCACAUGGAGCAUUUCUCAAAUUAUCCAUCUCCUUAUCAAUGCACUUAGCAUAUGUGGUACGCAAGAGUUCAUUUUCUUUCUCAAGGUUAGCACUCAUCUCAUUAUGCUCAACCAACUGGGUGCUCAUAUCAUCGCGCAUUUGCUUCAAAGCCAAAAGUUCACUUUCCAAUUCAAUGCAUGAUGUGCAAAUAAGACCGCAUGAAGAAACAUCAUCAUUCUCAUCAAGCAAAGCAUCAUAAUUAUCACAAGAAGUAAGGCAAGCAUCAUCAUCAAGAACCAAAGAGCACAUGCUACAAGGCAUAGACUUUAUUUCACAAAUUUUAUCCCUAGCAUGCUCAAGUUGUUCAACACAUGUAGUGUGAGUUAAUUUUAAUUUAUUAAUUUCAGCAAACAAAGACUCACAUGAAACACAUGGAAAAGAAGCAUUAUAUUUCAAAAGAGCAAUUUUACCUCUAGCCUUAUCAAGAUCAUUAUUUAAAGCAACACAUGAAUUACAUGGCAUAGAGGUAUUGGAUUUCAACAUUUCAUUUUCAGAUUUUAAAACAUCAUAAUCAAUUGAGAGCUCAUCAAGUAGUCUUUUACGAGAUUCAAAUUACUUGUCACCAAGAUAAACAUCUCUUUUUAGUUUCUCAUUUUCAAUGUGCAACACAUCACAAGAUUUGCAUGUUAAAGGUAAACUAGACUUGCAUGAAGUUGAGGCAUUCACAUUAUCAAGUCUAGACAUAUCCAAAUUCUUCUUAAGCUCAGCAAUCGUCUCGCUAUGAACACAAAGGCGAGUGAACAAACCAAUUAUACCUUGGAAGAGUUUACCUCUACUCAUCUUCUGAAGCUUGCGUCGGAGAUCAUCUUCUUGAGGCAUCUCAUCCAUCAAAAGAUGCAUCAAUGCCAUCGCUUCAUCAUCCUUGUUUAGCCCAUCCCGCUUCUUUCUCCACUUGUGGUCGUCCUUGGAUGCGACCGCACCACCUAGGGACAAAGAACCAAUAGAACAAGAGCUUGGUGCCAUAACUCAAAUCACCGGUUAGAAUUAGCCAAAAAUAAGCUCAAAUGGCGAAAACCAAAUCCGCAAGCAAAAACGCUCUGUACCUUGUCGCCCCGUGGAUCACAAAGCCGAUUAAGGUUGUGUGAUCCUUAACCAAGUUCUGAUACCAAUUGAAGGACCGGAAAGGUGACCAGAAAGGGGGUGAAUGAGAGCCGAUUGAAAUUUUCUCCAAGAAUUUCAACUAAAAAUCAACAAGCCUCUCUUCUAGCAAAAUCAAGUCCACUUAGCUAUGCACAAACUAAUGGACCUAGGAAUGAUGCUAGAAACCUAAUUUGAGAAUAGCGGAAGCAAGAAGACUCCAAACAAGCUUCGGAAGAUAAACUUUGAAAACCAACACCUCUGUGCCGAAAAAUCCGGAGGAACCUUUGAAAAAUUCUGAACGUGCGGAAAUUUCCAAAGAAACCUUCGAAAAUUUUUGGAGGUCUGGAGAUUUCUGGAAUUAUGUCCAGAGAUUUUUGGAAUUCCAAAACGGCCUGCGCAAAGAUGGUAGAAAAAUCCGAAAUAGGGCCAAACGACCUCCAAAAAUCAUAAAAUUUGAACCAUAGCUUCACAACAUAGUAAAGAACCAUAUCCUAAGAAAUCAUCCCUAAAAUAUUUGUGAAUCAAAGGGAAUUUCAAAUCUUGUGAAGAACUCUAUUUUCUCAAUGCCAAAACUUGAAUCGACCCGAUCUAUGAACUCGUGAGGUUUCAAUCAAAUCUCUUUGGUGGAAAGGUUCAACUCACAUUCUAGUUCAUUUCCAAACAACCAGAUUGACUCAAAACUCCCCACAAAACAUGAAUCGACCAAAAACGUGAGAGGGAAGAAAAGGGAGAAAACAAGAACAUGAAGAAUACAAAUGGAAAUCGCAAAUCCGGCCGCACCAAACUCGCCCCUAGUUUUGUGGCCCAAACCGGCAAACCUGCCUGCGUGGUGGUUUUGAGGCCCAAACCACCCAAACCCUCUGCAUACCCAACUGGCGUGACUCACCCCCGAUUUUGAGGUCAAACCGAUCAAACCCUCUGCACCCUCCUAGCGUGACUCACCCCAGUUUUGAGGUCAAACCGGUCAAACCCUCUUGCACGCCCCGCAAGGCAUGACUCCCUGAUGUCAAUGCGUGUCCAGCCUCCUCCAAGCCUUCGACGUCUCCAAGUCUUUCGCUCCCAGCUCCCGUGCCGCCUACUCGACUCGCCUCCGUCCCACUUUACUCGACCGACGAUGUCUCCAUCCCGACCAUGUACUCUUGCUCUUCCGUGCACCAUGUGGAUCACCCAUGACUCCGCUCGGACUCCUCGGGUCCCUCAGUCCAAGCCUACUCGUGUCCACCCUUCAUAGCCCUAGUACAUCAGCAUGGACCUUUCGCGCUUGACCUUCACCUCAUGCCGUUGACCGCCACGUCGCAUCCUACACCUGCACAUCACAAGCCAAGAGACACAGCACACAACAUAUGGUAUACUCAAAUACCACAACACAACUCACACAACGCAACACAUCCGAUUAGCCGUUAGCAUAAUCAUGCACAUAUGAAAUAUGAACUCAACCGGUAAAGCCUCAAAUCAUCUUGUCAAUCACUCAUCACAAAUAGACCAAGGCACUUCUCAACUUGGUCUCUCACAUUAAUCAAGACCUAAGUCUUAUACUAGUUUCCUUAAUCUUCUCUUGAGCACUUUCGUGGAUAGAGCACUUGUGUAUGUGUGGAAACCAAGCAUAUAGCUUCUCCAAGCUCUAACAUGCGUCAAAUAGCCUUGCAAUGGGGGUAUUUAUAGCCCCAACUUAAAGAACCAGUUGUUGCUCCAAUGGUCAUAAAAUCAAUGAUCAUCGACUGAUUCGGUGCCCCCACAUGUGCACUACCAUAUGAAUCGGUGGUCCUGUCCUAGGUAGCUAUUGAACCGCUAAUGUCCGGACCCCACAUGCAUCACCGAUUGAUUCGGUGACAUGCGUGGGCAUCACCGAAUCAAUUGGUGACACCUGAGCCAUAAUCUUCCACUACCUUCCAUCACGGACUGAGUCGUUGCUGCUGGUAUUGCUACCACCAUAUGAAUUGGUGGAUGUAUUAAAAACAUCCAGAGCUAAAAUUGAGCUGAUGAUGAGCCAAGCCGAUGAUCACCGACUGAUUCGGUGAUGAUCAAUGUUGGCACCGAAUGAGUCAGUGCACAUAGUGCACGCGCCUGUCUUGGCCCUGCUACUGAUCUACUUGUCAAUGACUAAUUUGGUGACUUGCAAAAAUGGUCACCAUAUGAUUUGGUGGAAUGCUUCGAUGCACAUUUUCUAGCAAAAUUUGCUUUAGGUCUUUGCGUGUAUUUAUCCCGGCCUCAUUAACAUCAUUUGGAUGCCAUAGAAUUCUUCUAUAGUAUUUCAUUUUCUUCUCAUUUUGAUGGCUUUGAAAUUCAUCCCUGUGACCUAUAAAAUACCUACAAAGAUACAUCUUGCAAACACAUUAGUCCCAAUGACUAUGUUAUCAUCAAUCACCAAAAUCACUAUGGCCUUGGGGCAUUUUCCUUACAACGGCGAAUGAAUGAGAUGGAAGUGGAGACCUCAUGGUGGGUGCGGGCAAUUGGCGGUUGGAGGUGUGGGUGUGGGACGGUCACAUAGAACACUAUGCAUGUUUGCCCUCUGUGACCGUGAUGAAUUCUCUGUGAGGCGACGUGCGGUAGUCAACCUUCCUCCUAAAUAUGGUUUUGUCUUGAUAGCUUGCAAGGAGACGAGUUUGGUAUUUAAAUGUGACACUAUAUAGAUGCAAUUUUGUGGUAGGGUUAGUGCAAUUUCACAAGUUGCACAUUUUCUUACAGUAUUACCCAUUGGGCUGCAACCAUGCAUGACAAAUCCACCAACUGGUUUUAUCACAUGAAUGGACAGAGCUAGGGAUUUGGCCAUUGUGGCAAAAUAUGCUUUCUGGUGUAACUAUUGCUGUACAUGCAUACAUUUGACAACUUGAUGCAUCCAUUGCACAUUAUGUAGCUUGUUGGACUAAACAUCCCUCGUGACUUCUGAAUUGUUUGUGUUGACCAGCAUAAACCAUAUUCGUACUACUCAACCACCACUGCUGAGAGUAAUAGCUCCGGUGGUCGUCUAUGGUUAGGUUAAAGUAAAUAUGUUAGAGACAGUUGUCUAUUCAACAAUGUUUUGUUGUAUACAGCAAAUACAUAUUGGAUGGUAGACACGUGUCCCCACUAAGUUGGCACGUGUAAACUCAUGCUGCUACUAAGGAGACACAUGUACCUAUGCAUUUACAGGCAUACCAGAAUUAAAUGCAGUGGAAUUCAAUAUUUUUCCAAAGUCUUAAAAAAAGAUUCUCUAAACAUGGUUCAUCAUUAAUUUUAGUGACGGUUUCUUUUUAGAUUGUGGCAAAUGGCAAAGAGUCGUAUCAUGCAUGUUACUUGAGCGCCAUUUGUCAUUCUUUUGUGGGACUAGGUAGCAACGUGUGGCUCCACGACAUACAAAUGGGUGUCAAGUGGACUCACUCCCCUACUUUCCUCAUCUCCUAGUCCUGGUGAUUUUGACUUCUUUCCCCGGGUCCUCGGAGUCAAUAAAUAGCACCCAUUAGCCAGACCAUUAUAUAAGCACAGCUUGUUCUCCCAUAUCUCCCUAUCUCUGGCCCUAUUGCAAGUAGUGUGAGUGCGCCUUAGAUUCUCUCAAGUUUCUUUCGUUGCAAAGUCUUUGUUUAAUAGUUUUCUCACCAAUGUUGCCAUAAUAUUUUGUAGGAGGGCGGAACGCGGUGGAGAGCUUGGACGAUGCCGUAAUACACCUCAAUUCUAAGUUUGAAGGUAACAACCACAAGGUUCUUUUGAACCUCUUUUCUUAAAUUUCUCGAUUCUUAGAAUUGUCCUUCUGCUACUGGCCUAUUAUUUUAAUAUUCGUUAAUUUAUCAAGUUUCACACCGUAUCGUUUUCUUGUAAUACUGUUUCCUAAAUUACUCUAUAAAUCUGACAUAUCUAAUCUUGUGCGCACAUAUUAGUUUAUAAAAGUACAUAUUACGAUCAGGAAAAUCCCAAAUGGAUGGCUUCCCGAUGAAUACCUCUUUUCCUUUCCAAAAAAAAAAGGAAGUGGGGUCAGCCAUUGUUUGUUCAUUUCCUAUUGUUUUCUCUGUAGAGGGGGGGGGGGGGGGGGGGGAGUGGUGUCUCUGUAGGUAUCUCCAAUAACUGAUCAUUUUUGUCCCUUAGUAGAACUGUGAAAAAAAAAAGAAUAAGCAAACAGGCACAUGAAUAACAGAAAUAAAUUAAUAGUCUCUAUUAAAAAAUGAAAACACAUCUUUCGCACAGUCGCUCGUAUAUUAGGCAUUGACAUACAUGCAUGGAACUCUAUCUCCGGCAUUGCAAAAAAGAUACAUUUUUAAAUGCCGUAUUAAUUAUUCCUUAAGUAUACCAGUCACCAACUCAAACUUUUCUAUUAAAAUAAAGGAUUCAUACUUGCCUGAAAAUCUAUCUCCAGCAUUGCAAAAAAAGAUACAUUUUAAAGUCUGUAUAAUUCCUUAAGUAUGUACGUAUGUACGUACGUACAUACAAGUCUGUAUAAUUCCUUAAGUACGUACGUACGUAUGUACAUACAUACAUAAGGAGAGUAUACUCUAUAUAUAUCAGUCACCUACUCAAGUUUCAGAAUCCAGAAAAAUCUACAUCAAUAAAACAUCUGGGACGCGUUCAGAAGUCUAGAAUUUCAGAGAAACUAUAUUUGCACGCUUCAAUCACCAUAAGAAUCGAGGACACAUUUCAUAUACAAAAUGAGGGGUUAAGGGAAACUUUACCUGAAAAAACAAUUUCGUAGUCUGCUAUUAGAAAGGUAAAUAGUCUUGAUCUCUAGAAAUCAAUAUAUAUAGUUUUUCAACAGCAUUUCUUAAGGAUAUUUUGUUUAUUGGAAUAAUAAUUUUCUUUUAACCAAUUAUUCGAUGAAAUAGAAGACGACACUAUGCACACUAUUGGAGUAUAACACUAGCAAUCCUAAGUAGGAGUAAUAACGUUUUCCAAGUAUACAUAUUUUAAUUUCUUUCAAAAAUUGGAAUGGAGCAUCCUAGACCUUGAUUAUUAUCAAUCAAUGCACUAAUGAACUGUACCCCUCAGAUCACUGCAUCCACCUCAUUUCACUCUUCACACCAACAGCUAUCACUCACUCAGAAACACACUAGCUCAUUUAAUGGCAUUGAAUAUGCAAAGCCAAGACAGUCUUGUGAUGCAUUGAAUUCGAGUAGCAUCAAGCAAACAUCAUUCCUGCGGCUGGGAUUAGGGCUGUUUUCUUCCACCUUGCUAAACUUUAGAUGCUAAAAGUUGCUAAACUUUAGUUGCUAAACUUUAGCAAAGCUGUUUGGAUACUCUUGCUAAAAGGCAUUUAAUGAGCUGUAAAAGGACCUAUCUACCCUUAUUAAAGGUGAGCAGGAGGGGGAGACAAGCAAUAAAUGAGGGGUAUAUGUUGUCCAGCCCACCUUUUAGCAAGUUUUAGCAACCAAAAACUUGCUAAAGUGCUAAACUUUAGCAACUCAACUUUAGCAAGUUUUAGCAAGAGUGUUUUGCAAUUUAGCAGCUCAAAGUUGCUAAACUUUAGCAUCUAAAGUUUAGCAAGGUGGAAGAAAACAGGCCCUUAAAGACCCUGUUUCUAUUUGGUUCUUUACGAGCUCCUAAAAUUCCUGUUACAUCGAAUGUUUAGAUACUAAUUAAGAGUAUUAAAUAUAGACUAAUUACAAAAUCAAUUGCACAUAUGGAAGCUAAUUUGAGAGAUGAAUCUAUUAAGCCUAAUUAGUCCAUGAUUUGACAAUAUGGUACUACAGUAAACAUGUGCUAAUGAUAGAUUAAUUAGGCUUAAUAGAUUCGUCUCGGGAAUUAGCCUCAUCUGUGUAAUUAGUUUUAUAAUUAGCCCAUAUUUAGUCCUCCUAAUUAGCCUCCGAAUAUUCGAUGGGGCAUGAAUUUCAAACACCCCCUGACCCAGUGAUCCAUUGUUACAGCAUGCAUGCAUGAAUAAAUCUCUAUGCCACUCGUUUUUCCAACUAUAUUUUGACAUAUUGAAAAGAUAUCCGAAUAUAAAUUAAUAUACUGCUUGAAUUCUAGUCUAGUUAGUCCAUAUAUACAUAAAAAAUCUUUCUUUUGUGUGUCUACUUUUCCCAUCUCUCGUACGUACAGACGCCAUCAAUAGAAUGCGCCAUGUUUUAUGGUCUCCCUUUCGCGGUUUUAGGGGGGUCAAAGUCGUUACUAGUACGUAGUAAAUCUCUCAGCCCAAAAUUCAUAGAGAGCAAACAGGCACCAAAUAAAAGACAUGUUGAAAUGAGGUUGCAUCAGCCGUGCCACUAUAUUAUGUUGAAAUGGCAUGUUGCUAAUACAUCAUUUAAAUAAAGGAGUAUCCAUUUCCUCAUAAAUCAUUUGGUGAUCGCUACGCCAGCCCAUCCCAGUAUCACCAAACCCAAGCCCGGCCCCUGCCUAGUCCUAGUCCAACCUGAGCCCAUAUCAAGCCCAACUUGACAUAAAUCCAACAGACUCAAAAAAUCCGUAGAAACUGUGCUAGUUGGACACUUGGACGAUUAGAUGGACAUCAUCACUUAGUAAAUACAAAAGUGAGUAUUAGUCCCGGUUGGUAAGGACCAUAUCUCUUCGAUGUCCAACCGGGAUUAAUUUUUCGAGGCAAAAGGGGCUCUUUAGUCUCGGGUCAUUCACCUAGGACUAAAGACCCCCUUUAGUCCCGAUUGGUAUUACCAACCGGGACUAAAAAGUUUCAAAGAAAAAAGCCCGUCGGCCGCCCGCCCGCCUCCGCCCGUCGCUGCCGCACGCCUCCACUCCACCCCGCACUGCCAGCACCGCCCGAUUGGUAUUACCAACCGGGACUAAAAAGUUUCAAAGAAAAAAGCCCGUCGGCCGCCCACCCACCUCCCCCGCCGCUGCCGCACGCCUCUACUCCACCCCGCACCGCCAGCACCGCUCCAUCCCACGCCAUCAGGCCCGCCUACUCCGCUCCACGCCUCUCCGCCGACGCCGCUCCGCUCCACGCCGCCGGCUCGCCCGCCCUUACUCUGCUGCCACUCCUCACUGCCAGUGAGGGCCGAGUAGAGGGGAACGGGAGGGGCAGCAGAAGGGGAGGGGGUGGCGGCGGCGGCGUAGAGAGGAGAGAGGAGGAGAGGAUAAGGAAGGAUAGGAGUGGCUAGCUGCGGGAAUGAAGGAAAGGAGUGCCUGCAAGGAUAAUUAAUGUGGAGGGAUGGGGGGCAUGUGGGGGAAGGACGUUUUGUCCCAAUUGGAGCCACCAAACGGGACUAAAGGCUCCACUUUAGUCCCGGUUGGAAUUAUCAAUGGGGACUAUACUUUUUAUCCCGGUUGGAAUUACCAACCGGGACAAACGGGGGGAGGGGGUCUUUUGUCCCGGUUGGAGCGUCGGUGGGAUUUUUUGGAGCCGUUGCAACCGGGACUAAAGGGGGGCUUUAGUCCCGGUUGGUAUUUACAACCAGGACUAAACCCCCCCCCCUCCCCCCAACCCCCGCCGCACGGUGACCUUCGGUGAUAUAUUUUUGACCCGGGACUAAAGCCACUUUAGUUACGGGUCCAAUAUUAACAGGGGCAAAAGGGGUUGGAUGGAAGGUCAGUUCUCUACUAGUGCCACAAUAGCAUACAAAAAUAUAUUUGACAUAUUCUCAACAUAUACAGGCCCAGUAAAAUAUUACUGUCACUUUUCAUCAAUAUUCGAAAAACCAUCAAUGGACAUAGGGACAAGAAAAAGGGAGAAUUUUAUCUAGCAUAACAAAUAGAAAUACACAGAAGGUCUGCAAAAGUAGCUGGAAUGAGGUUUAAGCGAGAAUAAGGCAUCUAGACAUUGAAGAAUAAAGUGAUAGUGAUAUGCAAGGCCGGUGAGAGAAAACCAAAAGGCGAAGCAAAAAUACGCAUAAUUGGAGCUGGCCCUGUCUAGGCUAUGAAUGAACCGACCUUGCAUGAACAAGGAAAGAAAAGCAAAGGCAGAAAAGUGGAGAGAAAAAUAAAUUCAGAGAAAGCUAAGGAUACAUAUAUGCACCUUUAAUCUCUUUUCGCCUUGGAGAGAUAUUCCUGGAUCAUCCAGCCUUAUAUUGUUCUAAAGAUCUCAUGGAGGAAAGAAUGAACAUUCCUUGUGAUGUUGGGGGACAUUCAGUUGAUAGAAAGAAAAAGUCGGGUGUCUUGUAUGUAGUACCCUAAAGAUCAUUCUGUGUGCACUUUGCAUGCUUAGGCAGCACUUUAUAAUAUUCACCACCAAAAGAAGUGAUUAGGACCUUUCUCCCUCCCCACAUGGAAAGGGGAAUCUAAUUCCCAUGCAAGGUGAUUAUCUAAUCCCAAUUGAUUCCAUCAUGUGCUCUAAACUGAAGCGUUGUGCUGUUAAAGAAAGACUUGGCAAUUUUAACUUUUCUUUCUAGGCAGGCAGGGGAAUGUUUGUGCAGUGAAGGACAAGAGCACUCACUCAUCCACUAGGUACUAGGCAUAGUAGGCAUGCAUACUUCAGCAACAUUUCAUUCAGGCAGCAGGUAGAGAGAUAAAAGUUGCAGGAUCCAAAGCUUUGGGUUUAGUGGGCCUGAGGACAGCAGUAAUGCAUACCUUUGCACACCCCAAGGUGAUGCAGUAGGUGCUAACUCAAAUCAUGCCACUUGCCAAUUAUGAGAAUCUUUGAGACAACUUGUACUCAUCUAUGAGCAUGCUGCAUAUUAAUAAACUGAACCGAAUUAUUUUUAAAGACUGUAGGCUUUGUCUUGAUUAGGAUGUAAUGAUAUAACUAAAUCUAGUCAGGGGCUCUGACCAAAACAAAAAGUGUCAAACUAACCCUGUCUCCUAACCUGGGUUUUAUUGGUUGCUAGCACCACUACUUUAUCCUACAUGCCAUUUUGACCCUUGGAGGCCUGCAGAUUGCAAUCCUGCUGUUGUUGCACAUUUCAAGGAGGCAUAAGAUGAUUGGUUAGUGGUGUGGUCAUUGUGGGGUACCAUUAGGACAGGGUGGUAUGGUCAACUCUUAGGGCACAAUGAUACACUUCUGUGUGAUACAGACAAACCCACUAUGCUCUGCUACAGUCUGAUGGCUGAUAAUGGGUCAUGGGUGCCUUAAGCAUUUUUUACUACUGACUAUAUACUCUGUAGUAAAUUGUUGGGUGAUUGCCUUAAUAGCCGGUAGGGUAUGGAGACAUGCUAUAUCGUCCUUAAACAAAUUGCCUGGCAUUCUUCAGACCACGCCAAAGAUUAGUUUAUCUGUAUGAGUGUUUGUUCUUUGUCCUGCUUGCCAUGUUCCCAUCCUGUUGACAUCACAGGAAAUGGAAAGGUAUGGGCAAUAGAAGGCUUUUUCCUGCACUGGUUUUGGGGGACUCAUAUUAGUAAUCUAAAAAUUCUAAAUGGCUAGGUAAAAUUUAAACAAAACUGUAUUUAAUCUUAUCAUGCAUGCUUUUGUUAUAUUAUCGCCAUCAUUCGAUUUUCUAUACUCCGUACUAAUCUGUGAUUUAGGUGGGUGUUGCGAAUAAAUUUCAUUAUUAGGACAAUUAGAAGACUAAUGUGCAGGUUAUUACAUUAUUAUGUUUCAAAACUUUGUUCAGGUUCAAAACCGAAAUUAAAAGAAAUGGACACCGUAGUUAUGGCUUGUGAUCAUGAAUAGCUAGGCUCCGACAACAGAAUUGAUAUUAUCCCUCUAACACGCAUGAGAAAUAAAUACUGAGCACAAGGGUUUUGUGAAAACAUGGUGCCCAUGAGACAGCAUUAACUGAGUGCCUAACAGCAUUUUUUUUUCCUUGGAGAUAUCUGAUCUCUCUCUCUCUCUCUGCCAAAAAAAUCAGUGAGAGAAGGGACAGCAGAAAUACCAUUCUUUUGGAUCUAAAAACAAAAAUAUCAGAGCCUGGGCUAGGCAUCCCCCUCUCUCUCCUCUGACAGGCCACUGCCUCUCCCAUCUCUCUCUGAAGUAAGCUUUGGAUUCCUGAUAGUGCAAGCAAAGCAAAGCAAGCACCAGACACUUAUUUCUCUUCAAUUCUUCAUCUCUUCUCUUUUGGUUACUACACUACACCACAGGCAAACCAGUAACAAUCCUCCUACACAACUCUCUCUCUCUCUGCGCGCGCGCUCCUCAUCUUUCCUCUCUCUUGUUUUCUUUUAUCGCCACAUUGCAGCAGCCGGCUAGCAUGGCCUAGCGAGCCCGCUAGUCACCUCACUGCAAUGGUGGAAGCUGCAAAGGCUGAGUCCUUGCCCCCCUGCUCCUUUGUCCUCUCGAUUAGCCCUUGACGCAACAAGGUUGGUUGGCUUUUGGUCUCUCUCUCUCUCUCCUCGACUGUCCAGACUCAAGAGAGGGAGAGCAAUCCGGUAGAGAAAAAUCUCUUGCAUCCUCCAAGACCCACACACGCAAACACCACACUGCACUGGGAUUAAACACAAAACAUCUGCAGCAGCAUGAGGGCUCCUCCUCCAAUCCUCCAUAGCUUCCUCUAGUCCCUGUUGCUCUGUGUCUGGUUCAAGGAUAGGAGAGAGAAGUGUUGAUUUGAGAGAGAGAGAGAGAGAGAGAGAGAGAGAGUCAAAGGCUGGCCCAUAGCCCAUACAAACAUCUAGUGAGGGAGCAAAACAAAAGAAUACAGUAGCCUAGAAGCAGUAUAUCAGUAACCAGUAAAAUCUUGGAGCUAGUAACAAGCAUCUCAAAGUAACCCUGGUGGCUUUUGGUAAGAACAGCCUCACUGUUCAUCCUUCCAUCCUCCUUCCACUAUAGCCACCGAGUGAGUAGCCUCUCCUUCCUCCAUUCCUCCCAAGUUGUAUGUGAUCUUGUUUUGCAUUGCAUGGGGAAGAGCCCAAGAAAGAAGUAGUAGUAGAAGAAGAACAAGCUGGCAACAUAGAUAACAAUAUGCAUUAUUCUAUGGCUUCGUAAUUUAGCAGCUAAAUUGCUUACCUCCUCCAUCUUGGGUUUUGCAAGUAGAGUAUCUUCUUGAUAAGGUCCCAAGAUCCCCCACCAUGCACCUCCUCACCUCAGUGCAGCCCCCUUUUUGUUCUCUCUCUCCCCUUUAGUGGCUUCUGUGUUGAGAGUCCCAAGAAACACUGAGAAUUUUGUUGCAUCCAUCCAUCCUUGAAAGAGAGUCAGUGAGGGAGCUCUGGGCGCCAUUGGCCUUUUCUUGCUUGUUCUCUCAUCAUGGUUUCUAUUGUGCCGCUGCAGAGAAGAACAGAAGCGUCAGCAGCAGCUGCAGGUGCAGCGAGAAGCAUCUUCUCUCUGGAGAGGCGCCGCCGAGACGAGGAGGGAUCAGGAGGAGUUAUGGAUCUUUCUGGCACGCAGGGCGAGCUCGCGAUCCCAAUGCACGCCAACGUCGUCUCGCCCUACGGCGGCGGGAGCGCCGGCGGCCAUGUCCUGCAGCUGCACCAUGUUGAGCAGCACGGCAACAACAACAAUGGCCAGUCCCCGGCGCUGCCGCCGUCGCCGCCCGCCGCGGCGGCGGCAGAGGAGAUGGAGGGCUCCGCGAAGAAGCGCGGGGCGGGGGGCGGCGCCGGCAUUGGCGGCGGCGCCACUGUGGUGAAGUACCGCGAGUGCCUGAAGAACCACGCUGCGGCCAUCGGCGGCAACGCCACCGACGGGUGCGGCGAGUUCAUGCCCAGCGGCGAGGAGGGCUCGCUGGAGGCGCUCAAGUGCUCCGCCUGCGGCUGCCACCGCAACUUCCACCGCAAGGAGGUGGACGACGACGACGACGACGCCAUGUACGCCGCCGCCGGCCACGGCCACCGCGCCGCCCGCCGCCUCCUCGCCCCCGCCAUGCCGCACCACCACAACAAGGGCGGCGGCGGCGGGCUCCUGGUCUCCGCGGCCGACCCCUACGGCGCCUACGCCGCGGCGCGCGCACUGCCGCCGCCGCCGGGGCACGGGCACCCCCACCACCACCAGUACGUGAUGCCGCUGACCAUGAUGCACAACUCGGAGUCCGACGACAUGGACAUCAGCGGCGGCAGCGGCGCGGCGCGCGGCGGCGGCAGUGGCGGCUCGUCGUCGUCCCGGAAGCGGUUCCGCACCAAGUUCACCCCGGAGCAGAAGGCCCGGAUGCUGGAGUUCGCGGAGCGCGUGGGGUGGCGUCUCCAGAAGCUGGACGACGCCAUGGUGCAGGCCUUCUGCCAGGACAUCGGCGUCAAGCGCCGCGUCCUCAAGGUCUGGAUGCACAACAACAAGCACAACCUCGCCACCAAGCGCCUCGAGGCCGCCUCGCCGCCGCAGGAGCAGCAGGCCAUGGCGGCGGCGGCGGCGGCCUUGCCGUCCCCGCCUCCUUCCGCGCCGCUGAUGCCUCUCCAGAUGAUGCCCCCUGGAAUCAUGCCGCCGCCGCCGCCACCAGCGCAGGCCGCUGGGCCGUCCUGCCACCGCGGCGGCCCCGGCUCCCCGCCGUCGCCGCCGCUCAAGCUCGAGUGACCGACUGACAGAAGAAGAGGGAAGCGAUCACCAUGCUACCGUCCAUGGUGAUUAUUACAUUCUUGAUCCGUCCUGGUAACCUAGCUAGCAAACCAACCAACCGCAUCGAUCCAUCGCCAUUUCACUGUUCCAUUAAUUCCAUCUACCGUCGUCGAAGCAGAAAGAGAGAGGAGAGGAGUGAUCUGAAACAAAAGAGAACAUGUUUAUCGUCUUUCUUUUUUCCUUCCCUUUUCCGGUGUUUGUCAUAAGGUAAGGGAGCAAGCAACCAAGCAUGCAAUGCAUCAUAGUAGGUGAUUUCCAACUGCAACUGGACUCAAUUUCCUCUGAUUUUUUUUCUUUCUUCCGGAAGGAAAGCCAAAUAUCAUCCAUUCAUCCUGGACUAUUUUAUUCGUCAUUUUUUUUAAUUUUUCCUGCCUGUUGUCUCUGACUUUAAUCCUGCUAGCAGCAAAUGCAAUAGUUUUGAAAUGUUUGAUGAGCAUGAGCUGAAGAAAUUGGGAGAGAGAGAGAGAGAGCUGUCGUUAUGGGCAGCUUCUUUUCCAUUGAGUUCCGUGCCGGGAUUUUGGAAGGGUGUGCGUGCCGUGCAUGAUGGCGCGACGCGGCAGAGGCCGGCCGGUCUGAGGAUUGAGGAGAGGGAUUGAGCUGCUGCAUGUGCCGUGGCUUUCAGGAUCACUGUUUGUUGAUGCGGCAUUGAUUUGGAUGUGCAGGAUUAUGUUAUGAUCCAUGCUUAAUUAACCUGCAGCUCUUUGUCGGCGCUGUUACUACUGUGACUGAUCUGACAUCACCAGGAUCAGUGAGACCACAAGGCCAAAAAAAAAACAAAGAGGAAGAAUAUGAUCUUAAAUUUGAGUUUCCUGUUUUUCUUUGUUUGGGAGCAGAGCAAAUGCAGGUGCAGGUGCAAACAUGUACUGCACCCAACCAAAGCCAAACCAAUCAAUCAUGUGUGGGCGUGCAGGGGGGCAGGGGAGCAUGUGGAGAGCCAAUCCCAGCCAGUAUAAACUCUCGCUUGCUUUUCUUGUGGCUGUUCCUGCUUGUUCUUGGACUUGCUUGUUGAGAGAGAACAACACAGCACACAGGGAGGGGAGGCAGAGGGCAGGAGCGCAAUCAAAGAAAGAGCACUGAUGAACAAACGCACAAUGCUGGACAGGUGUAUAAGUGCAGGCAGCACACGUUGCCCCCCUUGCUCCUGCAACAUAAUUUCUUUUUUUUUUUUGGACAUAAUAUCCUUGAUCAGAAUUCAGAAAAGCAUUGGCAAUAGCCCAAGCGUGCACUUGCGCUGUGUCGUCUUUGCAGCCUUCCUUACUAUUAUGCCCUUGAUGGCAAAAGGGAUGUUCAUGGUGCUCAUGUCAUACGAUACAGCUAAGAUCUCCACUAGGCGCUGGAAAUAGCCAAACAAAGAUUUAGCGAGCUACAGUAUCACAUCCUCUCCCCUGUUAGCUGAGGGAGGGUGAAUAGAGACAGGAGGCAUGGGAUCUCUUUAAUCAUGGCGGCUGCUGAAACACACUGGCAGGCGCAUGUGGGAAUUGGGAGAAGAGAGGUUCCUAAAAGAUCAUGAACCUUGACUUGUUUCAUAGGUUGGGAAAAGAAAAGCAAUCCAAGAAAUCUCUGAGUUCUGAGUUGUUAAGUUACUCCCAUAAGAUUAUUUUUUUAAACUUAUAUUGUGGUAGAAAGUAGUGGUAAAAGACGUGCCUUGAAGACAUAGAAAUGAAAGAACUUCAUGUCAAUAUGGUAGUGGUAGUUAAACUUUUUUUUAAAAAAAAGCUUUUUGAGGUUUAGCGGAACUCAUUUCUGAAUGAUAUACACCACGUCGCAGAUUUUGAACGGUUUCCCUCCCCUCCUGAAUUCAAACCAAACCUAGAAGAAUGAAACAGAGCGCUGCCUGCGGCUACGGACACGAAGGAAACAAGGGUGCCAACACGAAAUGAUGGCCACCUGUUUGUCUUUGCGAGAGGUUUAUCAUGGUUUGGUUUUGCCGGAGGCAGCUGCUGAGCUCCAUCCAUGAGUUGCUGCUGCAGGACAAGCCUGCCGGCCAGCCCAUGCCCAUGUGUGUCAGCUGCUGCCGUGCCUGUCAUGCGUGAUGGUGGUUGCCGCCAAGGCAAGCCAUCAGGCCUCAGAUCACUCCCAUGUUCUUGGCAGCAGAACACAGCCAUCAGCAGCAAACGCUACUGUGAAUUGUUUUUCUCCCUCAUGACAUGUCUUUGUUGUCUCUAUCUCUCUCUUUCUUUCUUUCUCUUUUGCUUUUUGUGAUGGAACUAGACAGACUGCAGGUGACGCCCAUCCUGCCAAAUACCUGUACUUGAAAGGGAAAAAAAAAGAUGUUACUUCCCUUGCAGGAGGUGAAAAAUAGUGGGAAAACAGAAACUUUCUCCCUUUUUUUUGUACAAAUGAUUUUCACUUCAUGACCGUAUUUGCAUGGACAGAAACAUCAGCUGCUCGAUCCAGUGAGAAAUGUGCACUGUUUAGGUAUGCUUGAGAUUUUAGCAACUUUCAACUAAUCAAUGAGAAUGGAGUUGGAACACAUCUUUUUGCAUUUAGACGACAGUUAAUUGCAGUGCAACAGUGCACGGAUUAAGUGCAGAGCAGGCAACGACUUCCAGUAAUUUCCCUCUGCCUCCGGCGUGCUUUGAAGUGGAACAGUAGUUGUACCUGAUGCAAGUUCGUAAAGGCGCAAAGUGCAACUGCUUCUUAGAUUCCCCAGUAAAUUCGAAUCAGACAGAUUUGAAAGAACCUUUUUCCACUAUGGGAAAAGUUACUUAUGGGAAAGGAAUAUUUACUGUCAGGACAAUAAUGAAACUCAAUAUCUUAUUCAGUGUGAUGUAUAUUUAUGUAUGCAUAUAUACAUACGGAAAAGAAAUCUUUAUUCAAUGUGAUGAACACUCCUGUAUAUAUUCCCUCCGUUCCAAAUUAAAUGUCGUUUUGAUUUUUUUAGAUUCAUUGAUAUUAUUAUGCAUCUAGAUAUACACUAUAUCUAAAUGUAUAAUAAUAUCUAUGAACCUAAAUCAGCUAAAAACGAUUUACAAUUUGGAACAGAAGGCUAGCUGUCCAUGUCAUAAACUCAUAUAUGAUAAUAGGAAAAUUAAACGGGCUUAAAAGUAAAGCACACUAAUUUGCGGAGCUCGUCCUACGUACCCGUGCUCUCCAAGGCAGCAAGGAGCCAAGGCUGCACAUAUAUGGUAAUGGUCCCAUUCAACUGUAUUUGGUUCUGACAGUACCUCACACGCUGAUAAAUGGUAGCUACAGUUACAUACAAAUCUUACUUCGACAUGCAUUCCUCCAAGUAUGGAGCAAGAAUCGACAAUUUCAAAAUCUUACAAGGGUGCUUAAUGAAGGUACCAUAGGUUCAUGUUUAGAGCAACAAUGAACACCAAGAAUGACAAAGCACCAAGAAGUACACAUCCUUUAAGGAGAGAGCAUGAACUAUGCGUGUAGGAUGUAGUCAUAUUUGUUGUAUCUAGUGCACUUGUUCUUCAGAGAACGAAGCACCCUCCAAAAUUCGUACUUGAACAAUAGCACUCGAGCCAAUGUGGACUUCGGCCCCAGCGCCUAGGAGGACACAAGAAGAUCGUACUACGUGGUAGGAGUUGUUUGAUGAAAAAACAGGGUUACGCUUGCCAAGCCAAUGGAGUACUGCAGUAGCACUACUGACAAAUGGCAAUGCAGUACUCUAGUGAGAGAGGAGCAGGCAUUGAAUUGCAUUUAUAAGAAGAGGUUGGAUUGCAAGUAGUAGUAGGCAGAUUGGUACAUGAGAGAGAGAGAGAGUUUAAAAUGACUGCAAGCAUCAACCUCAAUUUACACUUGCCGUGCUGUAAAACAGUACUCCCUACGUCGUGCCAACUUAUUUGACAAUAAGGUACCAACAUUCAUGAUAUUAAAUAAAUAUUAUUAGUUUCUCCAUUAAAUAUAUUUUUAUAGUAUAUCUAUUCGGUGACAUGAACUUUUGUGAUCCUCUUUAUAAUUUUGAUCAAAUAUAAAAUAGUUUGACUCUCCAAGAAAAUUGAAAUGACUUAUAAUUUGGAGCUGAGGGAGUACAUUGCCCGGUAGUGGAAAAACUCAAUUAACCCACCUGGACGUCUGUCCCCGUGCUGUAAAAUAAUGAUGGUUGAGCAAUGCCAAAUUUUUUUUUCUGUAAUCCACAUUUUGUCAUUCCUGCUAUCAUAGUGUUUUUAGGGUUUACUUUAAGUUUAACCUGUGUAGCUUAAUAUAAAUAGUUUACAAUGAUGUUUAUAGAUUCAUCAUUAAGAGCAAUUUUACAGUUGUAACAAUUUAUUGUUUGGAAUGAUAAUUUUUUACAUAAAUUGUUACUUAAAGUUGUCACUAGAGAACCAUGUCAUUGUCCUAAACUACUCGUAUUUGUAAUCCGGCAAGUAAUGGCUAAACUUUAGCUCUCUUAUUUAGAUGUCGAGUAGACGUAUUAAAUAUGGACUAAUUGCUAGGCUAAUUGCAUUUUUUUAGGCUUCAACCUUUUACAAGAGGGAAUCAGUCCAAAAUUAUUACACAACGUUACCCAUGUCAAAGCAAUUGGUUUAACAAACCCACACAAAAUAUCAAACACCAAUCCGCAAACUGAACGGCCAUCUAUAGGAGGCAAUCUAGGCUAAUUGCAUAGAUAAUGGUUAUAACACAUUAGUCCAUGUUUAGCUCAUGAUUAAUCCAUAUUUAGCCUAUCAAUUAGCACACGUAUGGGCUGAAAUUUGACUCUCCUAUUUUAGCUAAUCCAAACUUCUUUAUGGGACUAGGAGUUUCUUUUCUAUAAACAUAAAAAGAAACUGGUAAGAGUUUAAGCACAUGGAGAUGGAGGGGACUCAGGGGAGGCACUGGCCACGCGUGCACGUAUAUGCAGUUGCAGCAAGGUUUUCCGCAGCGGGGGACGCUGACCACUGAUUGGAAAACAAAGCGGAGGGUGAAAGGAAAGGGAACCCCCAUGCAAUGCAGCAGCAGGCGCCAGGCGUGUGAUCAAAUCAACAGCGAACACGCUCGCGUCGCCGUGAUCUCAGGACUCAUCAAUCCACGCCACGCAACACCUGCUGCGGCUGCAGGCUGCAGCGUGGUGUCAAUUUCAUUUCUCCCUGCAGUCUGCGCUGCUCGAUCAUCGGCAGAGCACGCACGUGAAGUACUAUGUUUCCAGCAAUUUUUGCUUGCGAUCUCAGCUCAAGCAACUGACAAAAAGGCCGAGGAGGCCACAGCAUAGUGCUGUAGAGUAGCUUGUAUAGUGCAGUGUGGCCUAGGAGAUUAGCUAGCUUUCCUGCUAAGUUUUCAAAAAAAAAAAAAGAUUAGCUUUAUCCUCCGAGCAUGACAGGCUUCUGCUCUUUUGGAGCUCCUCCUUUUCUUUCCCCUGCACUUUUUCACAGCUUCAGUAGUAGAGACCCUCUCUUGGCCUGUCACGUACCAGUGCAGUGCUAUAGUGGCAUGCAUGAGCACAGUGACACGGACGCACGCUAGCUGUUGUCUUUACGUUAAGUUUGAUCUCCGGGCCUGCUGGGCAGGCAGGCAUGCCACACGCAUUGUCACUGUAGCAGCGGCCGCAGGCAGGAAUCAGGAUGCUGGUAGAUGCUAGUCAAGCAUAAGGAGCAUCAACAUCAGGUAGCCGUUCAGCGUUCCCUGUUAUUUUUGUUUUUUCAUGUUGAUACCGGCAAGACCCAGCCAGAUGAUGAUGUCUGCUGGUUGGUAGUGAGAGGACUCUUAGUACCCGCAAACAUUCAUUCAAAUAAAGUUUCACAAACUGGAGGCCUUGCUUUCGCGCGGGGAGAGAGAUAGCGAUGGGCGGCUGCUGUAUUGUCACCGUGUUCCUGUAUACCGAUAAGAUGAUGAAUGGUGAUGCAGGACAGUCGAGCUUAUCCUUUAUUCGUAUUGUCAGCUAUUUCCCACAUUCUAUUUAUCAAUUAUAGUAUACGCAUACCUUUUUUCCGAGCUAUGAAUAUGACGAGCUAGCCCUGGCCACACCGGCUGUGAAUUGGGAUUGGCUAUGUCGCCAAGGGUUACUGUAGCAGCACAUUGUCAAAUCACAAUCGACAAAGGUUACUGUAGCAGCAUAUUGUCAAAUCACAAACUAAUUAGGUUUAAUAGAUUCGUCUCGCUGUUUAGCUUCCAUCUGUGUAAUGGGUUUUGUAAAUAGUCUAUAUUUAAUUCUAAUUAGUAUCUAAAUAUUUGAUGUGACAUGAGUUAAAGUUUAGGGGAGUAACUAAACAUCCUCCGAGCAAGCAUGACAAACACUGCACCUAGGGCAUGCAUGAUAAAACCUAUACGGUUUCUCCGUACAUGCAUGGAAUCGGGGAAAGCAUGAUGAGAAUUGAAGCUUGCCCCUUGUUUACUUCACUCCCAACUCCCAACUUUGGCACUAUGAAAAAGAAGAUUCCCCAUCACAUCAAACUUACGGUACAUGUAUGGAGUACUAAAUGUAGAUGAAAUUAAAAACUAAUUGCACAGUUUUGUUGUACUUUGCGAGACGAAUCUUUUGAGCCUAAUUAGUCAAUGUUUGGACAAUAAUUCACAAAUACAAACGAAACGCUACAGUGUUGCUACAGUAAUUUAGCACCUCCCAAAUUCGCCAAGUAAACAAGAGCUUGGUUGGAAUAAACAAGGACAAUGGACAAAACAACAAAGGCCCUAUCAAUCUAUCCACCCUAGUCAACCUUUACGUUACGGAGGGGAUCCACAUCCACAUGAGGGCCGGGACAUGACAAGCAAAGACGCCAAGAUCUCGUCCACGCGCGCACGCAUGCAAUUGCAACGCGUGCGUGCAUCUGAGCACUCUGCCACGGCCAGCACCAGGAGCUAGCUCAGCUAGGGAAUUCAGGUCAAUUAUACCCAACCAAAAAAAAAAGAACAACUUCCUCUCUCUACUAGUGCAUGGAUGUCUCCAUGUCUCAAUGUCGAAGCCAAACGGCAGCCUCAAGCAGAGCUGAAAACACGAGAAGGAACAGGAAUUAUUUUACAAAACGAGACUGGAAAACGUGGUGUGCCCAAACAUGGCUUGCGGACGGGCGGGACUACGGGAGGGUCAGCGAGAUCUUGUGAUGAUCCUGUGGUCCGCCGGCACGGCACGGCCGUCACCGCCGGCUGCUGCUCACCUGCCGACUUGAAGCAAAGCAACCGAACAAGGCGAGGACGACGAGGAGGACCACGGCUAGAAAUGUGAUCUCGCCUAGCAAGCAGUAAAGAUUUCGAGUUAUUGCACACACGGCUCGGUUGCAGCUGAGCAGGAGAUGAGAUCAGAUCAGAUUUCAGAUCGCCAGACGGCAGGAGGCGAGUGCAGCCAAACAACGGGCCACAGGGGCGUCAGCCGUACUGCUGCUAGCUGCUCAGCGGUCGGCAAAUUUGAGCUGCUCGGAUCGGAGCUCCAGGAACGGACGGAAUGUGUUUGAUAUCCUUGUCCCCCCGCCUGUCAUGUGCAUUGCUUUUCUCUCUACAAAUUUUAAAAACGUGCGUGUAUCAUCAUUUAGUUAAUUAUCAGUGCAAGGACAAAGGGUUUGUUAGGGGGAAAAAAAGGGAAAGCUUUGUUAGGAACCCCUCACCCAACAGUUUUAGGACAUUGCUAAAACCUAUUGGUAGUGAAAAGAAACCCCUCACCCAAUAGUUCCCAAUAAAAUAGUUCAAAAAAAAAUUAAGUACAGGCACAACAGAUUCAUGAGCCCAGCUAUUGAUUUUCUUUUUCUUUUUCAAUUGAAAACGCCACCCUCGUACCGGCAGUUUCUCCCUCUCUCUCUCUCCCGGUAUCCUUUGGUCGAGGAACAGAGAGCACACAUGGGGAUCGCUGGAUUGGGAGUGCGGAAACAAGGUGACUAUUUGGACGGAAAUUUUACACGCAGAAAUUUAUAUGUAUCACUCGAAACCUAGCCAUCAAUGUGAAAAUGGAUUGAGUGGCGUGUCUUCUUUUGAUUGGUAAAAGAAUCAGAGUAACGCUCAGGAAAAAAAAUCAUAUCACUGUCUAUUUUGACAUGUUAAAGAGCUAGAUGGCCCAGCCAAAGCCCAAGCCCAGCCAAACUUUAGGCCUGAUUUUGGUUACCUGGUAGACCUGGGCGCAACUUUCAGGCCUGGAAAACUCUGGACUUUUUGCACGUUUACGUCCAAUAAAAAGAUCAAACAAAUCAGCUGAUCUGUCCAUUAAAACAGUGUGACUCAAAUUUCUCAUGCAAAUAACCUAGCGUGAUUAGCCUCUUAAGUUGAGGAAUCACGUACGUGAAGCACUUUGGCAUGAUAAAAGGAGAUGCUUUUUCAAAAUUUAAUUUCCUGUGAGGCUGUCAACUAUUAUUGAAAUUUUAGAAAUAAACAGCCUAACACACACAAAAAAAGGAAUGCCCUACAGUCACUCCUUUAUAUGUAGGGAGAAUGAAUUUCGUUAUAUAAAUGGAUUCUAAGAUAAUUCUCUGAAAGUUAGUACUACGUACUAGGCGCAUGCUUGCUGGGUCUCAUUAGAUUAAACAUGUUUAUGGUGUAACUAAUAAUUAAAAAAAAUGCAAGAGUCGCAUGUAAAUGUUCAUUUUUUUUCCUCCAAGAAGAGCCUAUUUUUAAGAAGACAAAGUAGGCUCUAAACCUACAAAAAUGAAACUAUUCCAAACAAAAGAAUUCAUCAAAUUCGAAGAACGUCUCCUCUACAGUUAUGUGCAGAUUUCAAAAGUUCAACUUGGAAGUUGGAAUCUUAAACGAGCGAUCAAUUAAGUAGCAUGUCUCAGGCACAAAUUCUAACAGCAGUCAUAUCAGAUAUUCAGAUCAGAGAUCGGAACGAAAUGGUUUCUUGCCCCUCUUGAUAAUUUACACGCAUGGCACAUUCAUCGGACCCUCACACACACAUUGUUUCCGGGUAAGAUCAAACGCAGCAGCAGCCUCUCACAGGCUGGGCGUCCUCUCGGCGGCGCCGGAGAUGACGGUGAGCAGGUUGUUGCCGAAGGGGUCGCUGAGGUGCUUGGCGAGGUUCUCGACGGGGCCCUCGCCGGUGACGUACGCCUGGAUGAAGAAGGCGAACAUGGAGAACAUGGCGAGCCGGCCGUUCUUGAUCUCCUUCACCUUGAGGAUGGCGGCCUGGUCGGGGUCGCUGGCCAGACCCAAUGGGUCGAACGGGCCGCCCGGGUGGAGCUUGUCCUCCAGGUCCAGCCCGUUGAUGAUCCGGUAGUACUCGGCGCCGCCGACGAGGACGACCUCGGCGAUGACGGCAACCACCAG